rnacentral:misc_RNA from 1 species
AAACCUUCAAUGGAGAAUCAGAAUAUCACAAAGCGAAAACAGCAGACUCCAAAUGAGGCAAUUGUUGUUGCCAAGGACAAUAUGAGUCAGCAUUUGAGGGUCUAUUUGUCUUUAGGACAGCUUCUUGCCUCCUCAUUUGUUAUUCUUGUCCUGGGAGACCUCCAAAACAAAGUGUUGAGCAAAAAGCAAACAAUGAUUCAAAGAUAAUGCAAAAAACAGAAAAGGCUAUCAGCCAAAGAAAGCCUCCAAGUGGUCAGCAAAAUAAAUUCAAGUGUUCGGAUGAAAUUGCUGUCCAGAUGAAACUGGAAGCCUCCAAAAGGAAACUCCAGGAGCGAUAUCAGCAAGCUGAGAAUGCCAAGAGACAGCGGACGAUACAAGUCAUGGAGUUACAUGAUCUCCCUAAACAGGGGCUUGUACAAAAGAAUCCACAUAUGAGACCUGGAAGCCAUAACCGGCAUUGGGCACAUGGACGGCGGUAACUGUCAUAGUUAUCUGCAGAUUAGUUUUCUGUCAUAGUUAUCUGCAGAUUAGUUUUCAGUUACAUUUCCAGGUUUCUUCCAUUCUGAAAGUCAGUGGAAGGAUACUAAUAACUCUGGGGCAUACCUUGACUUGAUCCAUGUACAUCAACAAUAAGAACUCAAUACAUUGAUCAUAGUGGAACAAAAGGCCAUUCUGGACCAUUACAGGGAAACAAAUAUUUGAGACUAUUUUCCUAUGUUCAACACAUUCAGUUGUAGACACUUUCUGAGGAAAUAGGUGGGGCAAAGUUGUCGGAGCUUGUGAGUUAUGCAGUGUAGAUUCUUGACUUUGUACUAGGAUGAAAUGUCCAUAGAAAACCUCCAGUGGCACAUGCCCAUUGUUAUUGAAAGAUGCUUAACAUUUAUUUUUCUAUCUUUUUCAUUUCAGAAAGAGACGAGAGACUUUGGCUCCAUAGGAAUGGUAUUCAUGAAUUUGCACAGAAUUAGGUUGUUUAAUUAAAACAUGCUGUAGAUUCCCUGAUGUUAGUGUAUUAACCAUUUUGAU